UACGUAGGGGGCAAGCGUUGUCCGGAUUUAUUGGGCGUAAAGAGCGUGUAGGCGGCUAGGUAGGUCCGUUGUGAAAACUCGAGGCUCAACCUCGAGACGUCGGCGGAAACCAUCCAGCUAGAGUCCGGAAGAGGAGAGUGGAAUUCCUGGUGUAGCGGUGAAAUGCGCAGAUAUCAGGAAGAACACCCGUGGCGAAAGCGGCUCUCUGGGACAGU
rnacentral:rRNA from 1 species